AAAUCUCUAAAAAACCCAAUCCACCUAAGAUUCCUUCUGUUGCUUGCACCUUCUUCUUCUCUCUUCUUUUUCUUUCAGGCUGAAGACUAAACUCUCGAGUUGCAGAAUCAAAGGCUCAAGUUGCAAAAUUGAAAUCUCAUAUUGCAGAAAGAAAAUACCGGUUACAGAAUGGGAAAUUCAGGUUGCAGGAGGUGGAACUCUCGUUGCAGAAUGUAGAACUUCAAGUUGCAGGAGGUGGAACUCUCGUUGCAAAAUUUAAGAACAUAUGAUGCAGAGUGAAUUUUAUGCAGAAUCCUGAAGAAGAAGUGAUGCACUGAGAUACUUAUAGCCUUCCAGGAUGACGCAUUUGGGAGUCCAUAUCAUUUUCAUUGUGAGCCAUUUAUGCAGCUGUUGUGAAAGGUCAAGGAGGUUGCACAUGAAUGAUGAAAUUGUGGGGUUAAUUAUAGAUUAGUGUAGGAUUUUGUUAAAUUAAAUUUGUAAGAUUGUAAAUUGAAUGUAAUGAAUGUUUGUUAAGGAAUGUGGGAUUCCACAUUGAAUGACAUUUGCAUUGAGCAUUUAUGGAGUUUGAUUGAAUAUGUAUAUUGUAUUUAUGGAAUUGGAUGCUAAUUGAAUAUGAUGUUUGGAUUAAUGUGAAAUUAAUCAUGAAUGAAUAUGGAUAGAUUACUACUUUUGACAAUUA